GAUGAACGCUGGCGGCGUGCUUAACACAUGCAAGUCGAACGAAGCAGAUUGAGAUCUUCGGAAGGAUAUCUGACUGAGUGGCGGACGGGUGAGUAACGCGUGGGUAACCUGCCUCAUGCAGGGGGAUAACAGUUAGAAAUGACUGCUAAUACCGCGUAAGCGCACAGUACCGCAUGGUACGGUGUGAAAAACUCCGGUGGUAUGAGAUGGACCCGCGUCUGAUUAGCUAGUUGGUGGGGUAACGGCCUACCAAGGCGACGAUCAGUAGCCGACCUGAGAGGGUGACCGGCCACAUUGGGACUGAGACACGGCCCAAACUCCUACGGGAGGCAGCAGUGGGGAAUAUUGCACAAUGGGCGAAAGCCUGAUGCAGCGACGCCGCGUGAGUGAAGAAGUAUUUCGGUAUGUAAAGCUCUAUCAGCAGGGAAGAAAAUGACGGUACCUGACUAAGAAGCACCGGCUAAAUACGUGCCAGCCGCCGCAGUAAGAC
rnacentral:rRNA from 1 species